rnacentral:rRNA from 1 species
AAUUCAUGGUCACGGCGCUGGCUUCGCGUCGGUGGCGAUGUCCCGCGNAGUCCUCGCGGCUCGCGCGCGGGCACGCUUCCGUGCGUCGAUGUCCGGCGCUCGUCGUCGUGCACUUCUCCCCAAGUAGAACGUCGCGACCCGCUGGGUGUCGGUCUACGGCCCGAGUGCGGUGACUGUCGCGUCGCCGGUAAAACGGCACGCGACAAACCCUCGGUCGCCCGGCCGGCUGCUCGGCGGUACGCGCAAGGUAUCAGGCCGCACUUUGGUGUGCGUCGAGACCGUCGCAAGCGCGCGCCACGGUACUCGGAGGUACGGACUUUGCGCCGUCCCCGGUCCUGGCCCGCUGUUGGUUAAAGUACGGUUCGCCUUCGACAGGCCUGCGAACGUCUUCCUCUCGGGGAAGACCGAUACCGGUCAGCGAC